GAUGAAGAACGUAGCGAAAUGCGAUAAGUAAUGUGAAUUGCAGAAUUCAGUGAAUCAUCGAAUCUUUGAACGCACAUUGCGCCCGCCAGCACUCUGGCGGGCAUGCCUGUUCGAGCGUCAUUUCAACCAUCAAGCCCCCAGGGGCUUGUGCUGGGGCCCUGCGGCUGCCCGCAGGCCCUGAAAACCAGUGGCGGGCUCGCUAGUCACACCGAGCGCAGUAGCACAUCUCGCUCAGGGCGUGCGGCGGGCUCCUGCCGUGAAACCCCCCACUGUAACCCCAAAGGUUGACCUCGGAUCAGGUAGGAGUACCCGCUGAACUUAAGCAUAUCAAUAAGCGGAGGA
rnacentral:misc_RNA from 1 species